UACGAAGGGGGCUAGCGUUGCUCGGAAUCACUGGGCGUAAAGGGUGCGUAGGUGGCGGGUUAGUCAGGUGUGAAAUCUCGGGGCUCAACUCCAGAACUGCCUUUGAUACUGAAGAUCUUGAGUCCGGGAGAGGUGAGUGGAACUGCGAGUGUAGAGGUGAAAUUCGUAGAUAUUCGCAAGAACACCAGUGGCGAAGGCGGCUCACUGGCCCGGUACUGACGCUGAGGCACGAAAGCGUGGGGAGCAAACAGG
rnacentral:rRNA from 1 species